rnacentral:misc_RNA from 1 species
CAGAGUUGCAAAACUCCCCAAACCAUUGUGAACCUUACCUUCAACCGUUGCUUCGGCGGGCGGGCCACAGCGCCCCCCGGGCCCCCCCCAGCGGGGCGCCCGCCGGAGGAUACCCAAACUCUUGAUACUUUAUGGCCUCUCUGAGUCUUCUGUACUGAAUAAGUCA